UACAGAGGGUGCAAGCGUUAAUCGGAAUUACUGGGCGUAAAGCGUGCGUAGACGGUCAUGUAAGUCGGGUGUGAAAUCCCCGGGCUCAACCCGGGAACUGCUUCUGAUACUGGCGGACUUGAGGCCAGUAGGGGUCACUAGAACUGACGGUGGAGCGGUGAAAUGCGUAGAUAUCGUCAGGAAUGCCGGUGGUGAAGACGGGUGACUGGGCUGGUUCUGACACUGAGGCACGAAAGCGUGGGGAGCGAACGGG
rnacentral:rRNA from 1 species